rnacentral:misc_RNA from 1 species
UGGAAUUGUCACAAGCCAUGAAGCUACAAUGCCUCUCACAGUCUCUGCUCCAACACUGUUUAGUCGCCUUGCAAACCCUACCCCCAUGACUGUACCCACCAAAGUGUGUAUUGCUGAAAUAGGUAGUCCCAGCUUCGACGCAAAUAAAACCACAGAUGCUGCAGCAAAAUUCUUUUCUGCAUCUUUUAUCUUCUCUAUUCGACCUGAAAACAGCACUAGUCCCGGCUUUGGACUUGCCAAUUCUUCAAUUCCUAUCAACUAUUCAUCAAGCCAGUACUUUGGCCUCUUUUCAAUUGCAACAAUGCCAAAUUCCAUCCCUCUUUUGGUAAUUGCCGAACGCUGCAUAUGCACAUCCUUCACAAAACCUAUCCAUAUCCCACAUUGAGCCGAGGUCCAUUGUUCCUGUGGAUUAUGACAUGUGUCUUAGUCCUAGAACAUGAUGUAAUAGGAUUAAAAUCAAGUAAGAAUACAUGUUACAGCCGAUAGGCACUCAGGAUUUCAAGCUCAAGCCACUUCAAAGAAAAAUCCUGCCACAGAGCAAGCAUCCCAAUGACUGGAGACCUCCUGCCUAAUCCAAGCACACAAGAGUAUUAAAUAUUUAAAAGAAAAGAACCUUAUGAAAUUCCUAUGGAGAGUUAUAAGAUGCAUAUUUUGAGCACAACAUAAAAUGUGUAGAGAAGGAAAGGAGCAUUGAGGGAGGAAUCAAAACUUGCAGCUUUCUCACAAGCAAAUCGGAAGUAAUUGCAUUUUCAGUACAAAAUCAUAGCAGAAUUUUAUUUUCAGCAACUGGGUGAACGGACUCUGCGAAGAUCGAUCUGGAUCGCAGCCAAUGUUGUUGUUAUGAUGGAAGGAAAGCUUUAUCCUGUGUUUGAUGAUUGCCGGACACGGCAUUGUAAGAAAUUCUAUAGAGAAUUGAAUCCUAAAGUCCAUACAUGUACAUUCCCUUUAUAAUUUGGGCCUAAAGUCUAAUUCAAAAUUUUGAAUUCUGGUCCAAAUGAAAAAGGUUUCAACGUGUUUCCCACGUUAUGGUCAAAAUAUUCGCCUUUCUCACCAUCAAAGCACUGAAAAUUCACAAGUCCGUGCUAG